AAUAUUAGAACUGAGAGAGAUUAUGUAAAGGUACAAAUUUUCAAUGAUGAAUGUCAUUAUAUUGUAUACCUAAAAUGUACCAAUAAAAUUAAUAAUAAAGGAGAUCCAGCUAGGGGCUGAAUACAAGAUAAACUUAUAAAAUCAAUAAUAUGUACUGACACUACUAAUAAUUACUAGAAAAUGCAAUAGGAGAUAAGCUCUGAUCUUGAUGAAGGCACAUGGUAAGAAAAUCAUGCUAUCAGAUAACAAAAAAUAAUUUGUUUAGAAAUCAUAGAAAAAUGAAAAGACAGUGUCAAACUAGAUUUGUCUGAUCAAGGAAUAUGUACACGUGGAUAAGUGAAAAGUACUUAUUUAAUGACACAGAAGAUGUUGGCCUUGACAAGAGCCAUGAAGGGUUACAUAGGAGGUAGACUUCUAAUUAGUAGAUGGAUUGUGGGUAAAUGGGAAAUGAGGAAAUGGAAACAGUGUUCACAGCCCUUCUGAAACAAGGUAGAGAAGGGGAAAGAGCAGAGUUGGAGUAGGAGAAGAAGGGGCAGAAUUGAGUAAUGAUUUCUGACUUGAUAUAGGUCAAACAGAUGAAGGCUUCAAAUCAAACUGGAGAAAACUAUUCCUACCUUUGUGGAAUUUUGAGAAAUUGCAAAAAUUAUCCAGGUAACUAUUAAAAAAGAUGCCAAGAUCAGCAGUGCUUUUUGAAGCUUCGUAUUUGAGAACAUGAUGAGUGCCCUACAAAAGAAAACAAGCAAAGAAAUAAUGUGAGAAGUGAGUCCCUCUGUACUUAUUGUUUCAUUCUGAACCUGUAAUAUGUCUCUGAGACUUUUUUCCUCCUGAAUUACUCUACACAAAAGGAAAGAAGGGAUUCAGCAGUGUUACUGCACGAGAAAGGGGAAAGAGAGGAAAAGAUGGUGAGAGAGAGAGAGAGACUGGGAGAAGCAGAGUCCUGAAGAAAGGCUUAUUUGGGGUACAUCAGUCCAAAGUCAUGGCUAGAGGCAGAGGAUGGUAGAGCUUCCAAGAUUCCUGGCUUCCUAGAUGAUCUCAAGAGGCCAAAACUAACUGGACUUAUGUGUAAGAGAAAUGCACACCGAUCUUGUUCUUCGUUUGAAUCAUCACACUUGGAGUAUUUCUCCCUCUCACAGUCAUUUUUCCUGUUUAUAACCACAUAGACUCGACCAGAGGCCGAAGACGGGAUCUGACAAGAUGGCCGGGCUGCCCCACAGGAUCAUCAAGGAAACUCAGCGUUUGCUGGCAGAACCAGUUCCUGGCAUUAAAGCGGAACCAGAUGAGAGCAACG